rnacentral:lncRNA from 1 species
CAUAACAACCUUAUGCUGGGGGGGGUAUGGAUAUUGCUAACAGUAGAAUCCGGCCAAUGUUGAUUUUUAUUUUUUAAUCACAGAACAUCUCUCCAUUUUUUUUUGGCUUAACAUAUGUUGGUAUUAGAUACUUUUAAAUAGAGAGUAUUGCCAUAAAAUCUUAAAAUUACCCAAACCAAAAAACUUGUUUAUAUAACCAGUCUAGUCCAAAACACUCAUUCUAAAUAUAAGUAAAUAUGGGGCCAGAGAAAUUAGAUGGUCAAAAAAAUUCAUCCACUAGGUUAGUACUGGUACUAGAAACAGUAUCUCUUAGUUUAUAUUCUAAAACUUUUUCCCAAAGCCUCUUUCCCAUCUUUCAGCAAAGCACUACACACACAUAAUUGAAAGAUAAGUUAGUACAAACAGACUUCUAGCAAGUAAAUAGCCAUUCUCCAUCCCUCAGACUUCUACAUUCAACUGUCUUGUGGCUUCCUUCCAUUACUGUCAUGGAAAUAUACAAUUCCUUUUUAUUUCUAUUUCUUUGUAUGUGACUUAUCCCUCCACAGUCUCCUGUUCUUAGGACUUUUCUCUUCGUUACUAGAAUUUGAAAUUUCAUGUGUGUGCAGAGGGGGUAUGUCAGGCGGUUACCCUUUGUUGGGUACAACACACCAUUUCAGUGAAGGGAAUCUCUGUUAUUCUUUUUCUGUAAGAUGUCUCUCCCCUCUAUUUAUCUCUGCUAUUUUCCAGAUCCUUUUGACACUUCAAGGUAGGGCACCUGAACUAAUUGCGAAAUUUUAUCUUUUCUAUCUUCUUUUCCAUCCUAAUGACCUCUUCUUUCCAAAGCUUAGAGAUUUUUUUUUUUAACUUUAUCUUCUAUUUCUUGAUUUUAAAAAACCAUUUAUUUCAUUUUAAUUACCAAGAGUUUCUUUCUUAUAACCUAGUGUUAUCAUUGGCUGAUUUCUCUGUGAAUACUAAUUAUAGAAGUUACAACAAACAGGAAAAUAUUUAGCUCCAUUUAUGUACUUCAAUAACAUAUUUGAAUUUUCAAUAUAAGAUUUUUUUAUCUAAAAGUUUUUAAAAUCAUCUUUUGUGGGAUUUACUGUUGGGCAAAUUAGGGUUUCUGUUCUAUUGUGGCUAGUACAUUUUUCCUAGUGUACAGAAAUGCUAUUGAUUUUGAUACAGGAGUGCUGGGAAGGGACGAGCAUGGUCCCUUUAAAUGAUACCGAACGGGGGACAGGGAAGUGCUGGGUAGAGCAAGGCCGGUUCCUGGCUAGGGCUUCACCCUCUGGCUUGUGCCCACGAACCUAGGUGAGGACAGGCACUCCUGCCUUUGGGCCCAAAUGUUGCAUUUUCCAAAACCACCCUGGCCCACCACACCCCCAUCCUGGGCGGAUAAAAACUGAGACCCUAGCAGGCAGAUAGAUACACAAGCGUCUGGACGUCCAGAGGAGGGGAUCAGCGGAAGAAGACACAAGCAGCCGGACAUCGAGAGGAUGUCGAGGGGAGCAUGCCAGUGGAAGAGCACAUGACAGACACUGGCAGGACAGCAGGCCAUUGACUGGAGGAACGAUGUGGAGUUUAGCGAGAUCAGGAGGAGGAGAGCACGGGCCGCUAAGCAGAGGGACCCCUGGUGCAUCUCCCAUCUGGCUCCCCCAUCUGCUGAGAACUACUUCUACUCAGUAAAACCUCGGACUCAUUCUCCAAGCCCUCGCGUGAUCUGGUUCUUCCGGUACACCACGGCAGGAAACCCUGGGAUACAGAAAUCCCUCCGUCCUUGUGGAUUUUAGAAUGCCAAGCUGACAUUUUGAGUUUUUAUGAGAAACCAGAAAAUUUGGUGUGAAGACCCUAAGUGGUGUGUCUGACUUACAGCAGGCCCACAGCAAAUACAUUGGAGACUUCUCAACUUUCUGCUUCUGAUGAUCUCAACUUGUGGUAUGGCAAAAGGAGAGCAAAAUGUUCACCCAGGUAUGGGAAUUUCUCACAAAAAUGUUACUUUAUUAUAUUUAGGGGAAAAAGGGGGCAAAAUCUACACUCAUAAUACCUGAGACUGGAUUUCUAGAACCUUUUGGUUUCAGAUUUAUGAUGAAUUAGAAAACUUCCUGAUUAGAAAAAUGUUAUAGUUUCAAAUAUUAGCUAAAAUUUUUAUCUGUAAGUACAAUAAACAUGACAAAUAAUGAUCAGUGUUUUCACUCCUAUUAAGGAGAGUAUUUUUAGUAAUAAAAAUAAGCCUUAAUGUGAAAAAGCUAAGAAUUCAUGAUUGCUUCUAAUGACAAGUAUCUGGGAGGGGUCUGAGUUUGGUUCAAGAGAGGAACUACAGCUGUUGGUGACUACAACCAUCUGCCCAGAUGACAUCGUGAUCAACUCCUCUGAAUCACUCUAAAGGAACGAGAAGUCCUGGCAGCUGAGUCAUGAUCCCCCAGGAGCCAUUAAGAAGUUAAUCUUCAGUCACUUCCAUCCAAACAGAAGAAAACCCAUGAAGGAUGAGAACUAUGGGUCCUGAGAAUGACAGGUAAU